UUAAUAACAUUGGGUCCAUCGUUUUAAAAGAGUGAAGCUCCAUUAAUAAUGUUUUGACUAAUUUUCCAAUCCUUACUGACUCGGGUUGAUCGUUUACUUUUGCCGCAUAUAUUAUCCCCUGAACUUUGCCCAGGAUAAACUCUAUCUUUAGAGACUCCUCCAUAUUUUCUGACGCCGAGACCAGCCAGUCCGAAGGACUCUACCUCUUCUUAUAAUGGAGCCAGAUCUCAGCCUCUACUACUCUCACCACAGGGGUGAUACGAGUGCAAAAAUAAAAGAGGCGGAAGGAAGUAUCGAUUAUAGUUCCACAAAAAAUGACACAUCCGCUCCUCAGGGGUAUCUCGACUCUUCUUGGUAAAUAUAGACGAUGUUGCUAAUCUCUAUCUAAACCAUUUUUGCUUUGUGGCGCAAAAAAGAUCCUGGAAUACCACGCGCGGACUCACAUUUGAAGAGUUCCAGUCUAGACCAAGUCUCUCCAUUCUUCUCCUCACGAGGAUUUCGGGACAGCUCACAGCGAAGAAGAAUGGAAUCGGAGGUCCGUUUGACACAUGACCCCCAGGCUGUGAGAAACUUUUUCAAGCCCUCCAUAUCAGUAUAAAGUCCUUCAAAUCCACUUUCCCCUGGCAGAGGAAUUGACAAGCUGAGUAUAAGUCGACCUCUUUGGCAGACUCAUCUCUACUCCUCAGUCUCGGCCCAGAAAUCUUCACAGUCAUGGAGUCUUUGGAUCCAGGAGAAGUUUAAUGUUUACCACGUAGACUUAAUGUCUAGAGAUCCAAGUCCCCAGCCGUUUGUCGGGGCAUUAACUCUAUCUCUUGCUAUUUCGACUGAGAAUGGGACGAACCUCAUUAGAUGAAUUUUUUUUUUGGAAGGACGUUUAUGUUCCAUGCCAACAUUGCUUCCUAUCUAGAGAGGGGAGUGAUCCUAUCAAUCAUGACACUUCUUUGGCGCAUAUUCAUUAUUUUAUUUUCUUUCUUGCUUCUAGCCUCAUGGUUGGGCAAAGCAACUACAAUUCCAAGUAGAGAGGUUGAUGUAACGAACGCAAACUUACCAAGGUGUGCCCUCAGGAAUUCUUCAAAAUUCCUGUCUUCCCAAGAUUAAUCGUAAGUCCCGACUUCCUCCUGAAAAUCUGGAGCACCUCCAUGGAAGAAUUAAUAGAUUUCAAUUCUGUUCAUUCAUAUCAUGAAGAGGGAUGGGGAAAGUAGAUCACCCUGCUGAGCUCCCCUUCCAAUCCAAAAUUCUGUUGAGCUACUCGCUCCUGGCAAAUCAAUCUUUGACGAAGCUGACACCAUUUUUACGAAACCAAUAGGGAAGCCAUACCUAAAAAGUUGCUCUAUUAAGAACAUAUGAGACAAUGUGUCGAAGGCUUUUUCGAAAUCGACCAGAAGUGCAGCGUAUUUUGUUUUAGUGCGCACGCAAUAAUCCAUAGCGUCCUGAAGCAACCGGGGAAUGUCCUCUAGACGCCGAGACUUCAUGAAGCCUUUCUGUGAUGGGGAUAUUAUAUGAGGGAGGAUCUUAACCACCCCCUGGUUAAGUAUGCCCGUAAGAAUCUUAUAAGAUGUGUUGAGUAGAGAAAUUGGGUGAUAAUUUUUAAUAUCAUCACCACUUCUAUUUUUUUAAGAAUCAGUGUUAUAGAUCCGGAGCUUAUAAAAUCUGGUACGUAGCCUUUAAGAAAUAUGUCCCUAAAAACUUGUUCAAGGAUUGGCGCCAGUUUCUCGUCGAAAAUUUUAAAAAACUCGAAGUGUAAUCCUGAUGGUCCUGGAGACUUGAAAUUCCUGUUGUAGCCCCCGAUGAACUUUAAAAUUUAUUGUCUAUUAAUAGGGGAGUCUAAGUUUUUGAAUAUACUUUCAUUUGUAGGGACACUGAUAUAGGGCAGAAGUGGCAUCCACCCUUCUGUAUCUUUCAGCAAUCUCGAAUAUAGACAGAAACAGGACAGUUUCUUGUUAAGCUACCAUUUCGUAUAAAAGUAGUAAGCUUUCUUAGAAAUUUCCAUUGGGCCCUCAGUAAGUUCACCUGAAGAUCAUUUAUGGGAUCAAAGCUUUUUCCCACGAAGUGUGUUAAAGGACUUUUUCGCUUUUUAAUUUAAUUCGACUAGUUCCUGUCUCAUUCUGAUCAUAGCUCCCUAUUUUCAUAGUCAAUAUUCUUCUCCAGUUCUGAGAUCGCCUCGGGCCUUUUGUCGUCCAUUUUUUUCGAUUUGACUCCUUAAUUUUUUUCUUAACUUUGGAGCUUUUUUCCCUCUUUGUAUAAAUAUAUUUCUUGACUGCAUUUCAAUAUUUCAUAGAGCGUCCCAGGAUGAGACAAGGUUGUUAGACAAUUUAACGCUAUUCUUUUCUAUCAUUUCAGAAAUUUCCUUACGGAUCUCCUCUGAGUCCAACAGGGACACGUUCAAUUUCCAACGUGAUUUACAGGGUCCAGAUGGGUAGCCAAAUGACUGGGUUGUGAUC
rnacentral:lncRNA from 1 species